rnacentral:lncRNA from 1 species
CUGGCUCUUAUGCUCUGCUUGGCUCUGUUGUGCCCCGGGACGCCGGCGUGGUGACCAAGUUGAGGAAGGCUGGGGCUGUCAUACUGGGAAAGGCCAGCUUGAGUGAGUGGUCCUAUUGGAGGUCCAAUGAUGCACCUUCUGGUUGGAGUGGCAGAGGUGGCCAAGGGGUGGUGAGUUGAGGAUCAUUAAUUGCCUUAUGUUAUGCUGUGAAACUGUCAAUUUAAAACAUACAUUCAACUAAAAGUUCACAUAACUAAUGUUCGAGAUUGACUGUCAGUCUGAUAAUAUAAGAGAACAGACAUUCUGAGAUUUAACCCACUGAGAUAUAGUUCGGUUGAGUGCAGAACCCUUACAAUUUUAGCACGACGCCAAGCGGCUCAAGUAGCGGGCCGGCAAUAUCAGCGGCAGCAAAUCUGGCAACAGUGACACUGGGGAGUGAAACAGACGGGUCGAUUUUAAGUCCAUCCAGUUGGAACUCAGUGGUGGGCAUCAAACCAACAAUUGGCCUUACAAGUCGAGCAGGGGUUGUUCCAAUCUCUCCAAGACAGGACACAGUCGGGUAAGUGGUGAUCAAUCAAUGUAAAUUAUUUUCACAUUAAUUUAGAUGGCUGGCUUUUUCUGUCUCAUUGUUUGUUGGGGGGUGUUGGAUUGAACAGGCCAAUUACUAGGACAGUAUCAGAUGCCGCAUAUGUUCUUGAUGUCAUUGCAGGCAUUGACAGCAAUGACCUUGCAACAAGUGAGGCAUCGAGGUACAUUCCCAAGGGCGGCUAUGCACAAUUUCUCAGACCUGAUGGACUUAGAGGUAAGAGAAUAGGGAUAGUGAGAGCCUUGUUCAACUUUGGCAGUGACGCUUCGUUGACUCAAACUUUCGAACAGCAUUUCAACACUCUGAGGUAACCAAAAAAAUGUAUUAGUCUCUCCAAUUCGAGACAUAAUACGUUCUGUUUUGAUGACAUAAUAAGUUGUUGGAAUUUGGAAAUUUAAUGUAGGAAAAGAGGUGCUGUUUUGGUAGACAAUUUGGAAAUAGCACAUUUUGAUGAAAUCUACUAUAAUUCAAGUAGUGAAGACAUUGCAUUGUCUGCUGAGUUCAAAAUUUACUUGAACACAUACCUCAAGAACUUGGUGGCUUCACCGGUUCGAUCCUUGGCAGACGUGAUAGUCUUCAACAAUAAAAACUCAAAACUGGUGAGUAAAUAGGAGCAAGGGUUUAUGUAACUUUCAAAUCAUAUGCUCAGAAUUUGUCCUAAGUAAUUGGUUGAGCUACCGGCAAUGCAGGAGAAAGUGAAGGAGUAUGGCCAAGGCCUACUCUUGAAAUCUGAAGCAACAAAUGGGAUUGGCAAUGCAGAGAAGGCAGCGCUGGUAAACUUGGCAAAGCUAUCCAAAAAUGGUUUCGAGAAGCUCGUGACGAAGAAGAGGCUAGACGCAGUGGUGGCUCCAUCUGCAACCGUGUCGACGUUGCUCGCCAUAGCAGGCUCCCCAGGAGUGGUUGUCCCAGCAGGAUAUACUAAAGAUGGGGUACCGUUUGGCAUCUCCUUUGGCGGGCUGAGGGGUUCGGAGCCAAAGCUAAUUGAGAUAGCAUACGGCUUUGAGCAAGCCACUAAGAUUAGGAAGCCUCCUUCACUUAAAAACUUCAAGAUUUAGAGCCCCAUUUUAUUGGUAUUGAAGCUAAUGGGCGUGCUAUUGUAGUCUUACCACAAUAUCAAUAGCAUUAAGAGUACAAGUGAUAGUCUAAACUAUAAGAGAGUUGAUGAAAGGUAUGAAAGAUUUUUUUUUUUUUUUUAAUGUUUACAAGUCAGGGUUUUUUUUUUUCACUGUGCUAGACCCGGUUGGCAACAAAAUAUGUAUGAUUUAAACAUUAUAAACAUGAUCCACAACCAUAGGAAACAUAAUAUAACUAAGUAAAUAAUAAGCCAAAGUGAAACUCCUAUCCCGUGAGAAUUAACCAAUUAAAUAUCAUCUAAUCAAAUUGCUCUCACCAUCAGGGGCGGAUGCACAGAGGGACAAUAGGGGUCAAGUGCCUUAUGGCAACUGAAAAGGUAGCUGUAGAGGUCUCAAACGACCCCAUGGCUGGCUGGUGUGCGACCUCGAAGGUGCACACUAGAUGUUUGAUGAAAGGUUUGAAAGACCUAGUGAUGCUGCUGUUGCGCGCAGCACAGCGAGGUAAUUUUUUUUUUUCAAAAUCACAUGGCCAAAACAACGUUGUUUUGGUCCAAGCGUAUUCAAAUUUUUUUUAAUGACCUGACUUCAAAACGACGUCGCUUUAAGCCAGCUUUUAUAAAAUUUAAAUUUAUAAAAAUAAAAAUAAAAGAACAGAACCCACCCUUUUUUUUCACAUUUACACCAGGUCUUAAAUAUGUUGAUCUUUAGAGCACUUCCAGCGCGCGUUUUCAACCCGGGCAAGAGGGGCCCAAAGGCCACAAUCCAACUCCACCGCGCCAAGUCCAGCCAGGGCAAGGUUUGGGUCUCACGAGCCUCGUAAGCCCACAAGCAAAUUCAGCUUGAGCUGCUACCUAGGCAAAAUGACACAAUGCUGACGUCAUAAUGAUGUCAUCAAUCAAGAAAGAUUUUGAAAAAAAAUACCAAAAUUUCAGAAUUAUAUAUAUAAAUAUCUAGUCAUAUUCUUUACUUCCUACAUCAAAAACUUCUUUCAAAUUCAUCUCCUCAUAUCUCAUGUGAAUAGUAAUUGCCCUUGUCAUGGCCCAUAGGGGUGGAAACAAAAUUGCAAGGGUUGCCAUUAUUCAUGUGAAUAGUGACAGCCCUUGCCUUGCCCUUGCCUUGCCCUUGCCCUUGCCUUGCCUUUGCCCAUAGGGGUGAAAGUGCUCUUAUAUCAAUUUCUUCAUAUAUUACAACUGUACUAGUACAAACACCCCUUUUACUUGCCCAGCUAGACUCACCCCCCCAAAUGAAUAUUUCUUCCUCCUCUCAUCAACAAUUGAUUAAGGGGUUAUUGAUAGUGUUUUGAUUAAUUGAUUAAUGCUUGUGUUUUGAUUAAUUGAUUAGGGCUUUGUGUUUUGAUUAGUUUAUUAGGGCUUUUUUUUAAUAUUUGAUUAGGGUCUUGUGCUCAGGUUUUUUUUACAUGUUUUGUGUUUUGAUUAGUUGAUUAGGAAUGAAAAUGCUAUUGUUUAAUUUUUCAAUGUUUAUUUUGUUUUGAAGAAAAAUUUCGAAAUCUUUACACUAUGACCCCAUAUUCUAAGAAUCCUAAAUCUGCCACUGCUCACUAUACCUAUUUUUUCUCUAACUUCUUAACCACAACCCAUAAAUCACUAAUUCUUAUGUGAAAUAAAUCUACUAAAUUAUGUUGAAAGAGUUUGACCAAAAAAAAAAAUUAUGUGGGAAGACUACAAUGUACAAACAACUUGUCGUCCAUGAUAACUCUAAUAAGGAAAAAGUAUGAUUUUGUGUGUCUUCGGAUACUUUUUUUUAUUCCAGUUUUGACAUUGAAAUUUUUUGAGUCGCGACACAUGCAAUGACCAGGAACGACACAACUCAUAAAUCUGCAAUUAGGAAACCACACAUCAUCAAAUUGUGUGGCCAACACCAACCACAUAUUUUAUUUUUAUUUUUGAGAUAUUGAGUAAUAAUAAUCCUAGAAGUAUCAAAAAAUUUCAAUAUCAACUAAUGUGGUAAUUCUUCAUUUAUUUAUAGUUCAAUUCACCGUGAACAUCAUUUAUUUAGAUUGACAUAUUAUGUGUCACCCUAAAAAAAAAAACUGAUCUUGCCCCACAUUAAUUGAUAUUAGAAAGUUGCAAUAGUAGAACUUGGUUUAACAAGGUGGCCUUUGAGUGAGGUUAGAUCAAAUAGAAGAACAAAAAUUUCAUUGAAUGGAACUUUACUUUUGGACCUUAGGGUUAGGUUACAUCCUAGGUGUAUUCGUAUGACCACUAGAAACAAUCACGAGAUUCUUGUUUUAAAAUAAGAUGGUCCAAUCUUAAGUUGUCAUAAACAUUGCCUUGUUCUAGAAAUAGUUGGUCCAAUCUUUGUGAUCAUAUUAUUAGUAUUUACAAUCAAUAUAUGUAGUAACUUGUCAUACAAACUUCUAUUCUUUAAAACAAGACUUGCGCGACAAGGUACUUGGCUUUUAGUCAUGACUCGUUAAAUAAUAUCAACUCAUAUUUAGAACCAAUUGUCCAUGAUGUUUUUUUGAUCAAAAAUUGUUCAUGAUAAUGUUGAAGCAAGUAGACGUGGGUUUUGUUUUCUAUUCUUGUUCCUUCUAUAGGAAAUAAACUGUACAUGCCUAAUUAUGCAGCAUGCGAUCAUGUUGUUAUACUAGAAUUGCUUAAAACUUCCAUGUGGAUAAUGACAAAAAAUCGUAGGAGAAAGUUGCCCCAAACAAUAAUCAAAUCCUACAUGAAUGUUAAAGCAACAAAGGGGUUAUUAAAAAUUUAUUAAGUGUCAAAUUGCCGUAUAGGUCAUCAAGAGAUGAUAUUGUGAUGAACUAUUACUUUUGGCCUUCUAUCUAUGCCACCAAAAAUUAUCCAAUUUGUGAACGGUUAUCUAUGAUAUAAGGCUUUAUAAUUCUUUUUUUUAGUUCCCAACAGAAUCAUGGACUGUAUAUGAAGUUUUAAGUAUUAUUGUCACAUACCCGACAUGGUAAUGAUUAUAAUAUUAUGUACACUAUUAUAGGUUAAUACUUUUUAUGGAGGAUUGAGAUACAAAGGCGGCAAAGGUUUUCAUUCACACACUUCUCUCUUCUCCUCGUACGCAUCAAAUAAGGUAGCUUCUUUUUUUUUUUUUUCAAAUUUACCCUUAUUAAUUAUUUAUUGUUAAUUAAAACACAUUAACCAGUUGGGAAUUUUCCUCUUCUCCCAACUCCCUAACCCAGCUCAAGAGAAGAAGACGUCAGAGCCUAAUUUGGAUCCCACCAUCGCAUUCAUUGAUACCAACCUCAUAUCAGAAAGCUCCAUGUUUUUUUUUUUUUUUUUGGGUUGCCUGCCCUAUUUCAUAUAUUCUCUCCGUUUCUGAAAUAAGAAAAAAAGAAUAAUAAAAUCAACUUUCCAAUUGUGUCAGCUGACAGAUUGCAAUUGGUGCUAGCUGGUUCUUCUUGUGGUCACAAACUAAUCAUGCAACACUGAUUUUCUAUUCUUUUAGGUGGGAAUAUUAGCUACCAACUAGUCUAGUCACCUUAAUCAAACUCAAUUGCUUCACGGAAGUGGCCAAUGGGACCAGAGAACUUCUCAUUCCAAACAACCAAAAACUCAUAAAAUGAUCAUGAAGUCAAUCAAAUUGCAAAUUAUUAAGAAGUGAAUUGAGGGGUACUUUUCGCUUUUGGGACCCUAUAUCCAUGGCACAAUUUCUAAGUUGAAGUUGUAAAUCAAGUUCUAGUGUUCACUCCUCCAAUGGCACAAGCAAGCCCCUCUCACUUCUCAUCCUUCCUUCUGAUUCUUCUUCUCUUUGCACUGUCACUUGGGCAACAAACAACUGCAGGACAUGGACCCUCAAUCAAGGAAGCCACCAUAGACGAUCUCCAACUAGCUUUCAAGCACAAGCAGCUCACCUCAAGGCAACUAGUCCAGUUUUACCUUGGGGAAAUCAGCAGGCUCAACCCUUUCCUCAAAGGGGUCAUAGAAGUGAACCCGGAUGCGCUUUAUCUUGCGGACAAGGCUGACUACGAGCGCAAGACUAAAGCACCAUCUGUGUCACUCUCUAAGUUACAUGGCAUUCCCAUUCUGGUCAAGGACAGCAUUGCAACCGAGGACAAGUUGAACACCACAGCUGGCUCUUAUGCUCUGCUUGGCUCUGUUGUGCCCCGGGACGCCGGUGUGGUGACCAAAUUGAGGAAGGCUGGGGCAAUCAUACUGGGAAAGGCCAGCUUGAGUGAGUGGGUCUAUGGGAGGUCCAAUGAGACACCUCCUGGUUGGAGUGGCAGAGGUGGCCAAGGGGUGGUGAGUUGAGGAUCAUUAAUUGCCUCCUGUAUACCUUGUUUGAUUAAUUUAAACGGUUAAGUUCUCUUGAUAGAAACUUGGUAUGUUAUGUUGUGAAACUUUCAAUUUGAAACAUACAUUCAACUAAAAGUUCACAUAACUAAUGUUUGAGAUUGACUGACAGUUUGAUAAUAUAAGGUAACAGACAUUCUGAGAUUUAACCCACUGAGAUAACAGACAGUCUGAUAAUGUUCGGUUCAGUGCAGAACCCUUACAAUUUCAACGCGACGCCAAGCGGCUCAAGUAGCGGGUCGGCAAUAUCAGCGGCAGCAAAUCUGGCAGCAGUGACACUGGGGACUGAAACAGACGGUUCAAUUUUAAGUCCAUCCAGUUGGAACUCAGUGGUGGGCAUCAAACCAACAAUUGGCCUUACAAGUCGAGCAGGGGUUGUACCAAUCUCUCCAAGACAGGACACGGUCGGGUAAGUGGUGAUCAAUCAAUGUAAAUUAUUUUUACAUUAAUUUAGAUGGCUACCUUUUUCAGUCUCAUUGUUUGUUGGGGGGUGUUGGAUUGAACAGGCCAAUUGCUAGGACAGUAUCAGAUGCCGCAUAUGUUCUUGAUGUCAUUGCAGGCAUUGACAGCAAUGACCCUGCAACAAUUGAGGCAUCGAGGUACAUUCCCAAGGGCGGCUAUGCACAAUUUCUCAGACCUGAUGGACUUAGAGGUAAGAGAAUAGGGAUAGUGAGAGCCUUGUUCAACUUCGGCGGUGACGCUUCGUUGACUCGAACUUUUGAACAGCAUUUCAACACUUUGAGGUAACAAAACCAUGUAUUAGUCUCUCCAAUUCGAGACAUACGUUCUGUUUUGAUGACAUAAUAAGUUGUUGGAAUUUGGAAAUUUAAUGUAGGAAAAGAGGUGCUGUUUUGGUAGACAAUUUGGAAAUAGCACAUUUUGAUGAAAUCUACUAUAAUUCAAGUAGUGAAACCAUUGCAUUGGCUGCUGAGUUCAAAAUUUACUUGAACACAUACCUCAAGAACUUGGUGGCUUCGCCAGUUCGAUCCUUGGCAGACGUGAUAGCCUUCAACAAUAAAAACUCAAAACUGGUGAGUAAAUAGGAGCAAAGGUUUAUGUUACUUCCAAAUUAUGCUCAGAAUUUGUCCUAAGUAAUUGGUUGAGCUACCGGCAAUGCAGGAGAAAGUGAAGGAGUAUGGCCAAGGCCGACUCUUGGAAGCUGAAGCAACAAAUGGGAUUGGCAAUGCAGAGAAGGCAGCGCUGGUAAACUUGGCAAAGCUAUCCAAAAAUGGUUUCGAGAAGCUCGUGACGAAGAAGAGGCUAGACGCAGUGGUGGCUCCAUCUGCAACCGUGUCGACGUUGCUCGCCAUAGCAGGUUCCCCAGGUGUGGU